GUUCCCCAGCUCUGUGACAUCACAGACAGCCUUCUCUCCACUCUGCCAGCUGCAGGAAACAGCCCAGCCCAGUGAAUUGGGCUCAAACUCAAGAUUGGCUGAUUCAACAAGGCACCCCUGCAGACAAAGCUGGCAGAGUAGAGAUUUCAACUCCUUUCCAUGGCAGCCCACCAAAACCUGAUCUCGAAGAUCUUCUGUUUAUGCUGCAGGGACUGUCAGGAGCCCUAUGCCAUCGAUGACUCCAAGGUUCCCAGUCAAACCCAAGAGCACAAGCCAUCGACCCAAAAUUUGCAGCUUCAGAAGGAUGAGCUUGACAGACAAAAUCCCAAGCGCAUUAACGCAGCCUCCCAUUUGCCUUCGAGAACACCCCUGAUCCAGCCAAAAAAGAGCACUUCCUCCAGCAGCAGUGAGUUUGAAGAUCCAGCCAGGUGCAUGGCAAGUAAACAAUGCCAGAAAACACUUGUGGAUUGAAUGUAGUUCAACUGGGGGUGAAAUGCGUCCGGGUCAUGGAAGAACAGAUGCCCAAUCCCGGGACAGGGGCACAGCCCAGGAAGAAGAAAUGCAGCCACAUUGCUGGCCAACAAUUCUAUGCCCAGGUGGUCUCACAUAACUCACAACCAACCCAGGAGUCCUGCUGAGAACUAAGGAUUAUCCAACCCAGUCAUUUUGAAACCCCCUUGAAAACAACAUUUCACAGAGUCCAAUUUUUAUAAAAGACCAAAGAGGAACAGCUCUGCUUGAAUCAAGCCUGAGAAGAUCUGAAUGCAUAUGCUUCCCAAAGAAAUUUUUACAAGAGAAACUUAAACCGCUACCGCCAGGAGCGCUGGCCAUUCCAGCCGUGCCUCAUUGGGAGGCCAUGAGCAUUCUAGCCGGCAGCUGCACAGCUGCUGGGGCGCCUCCACGAGGAAGAGGGCGGUGGACAGGAGUCAUGAAGAUGAAUUUGGAAACUCCCCUGAAGGAGGAGAAGACGUCUGAACCAUCCUUGGGCCACCAAGCAAGAGUCACCCCAGCUCCUGAAAAAGCCCCCAUGGAAAGAGCUGCCUCCAAUUAAAGUUCUUGAUUGCACCAGA